UUUGACAGUGGAUUCUUGAUAGAAUUUUACUUCAUUUGGGCUUCUGGGUUCGAUUAGGAAUAUGGUCCUUUGUGUUAUUGGAUGAUUAUGAUUGAUGCGAGCUAGAUCGCUUUAUUUAACUCUGUGUUUUACUAUAUAUAUUGUGUGUUAAAAUUUGUUGUUUGUGCUCACUAUCUUGUUAGGUGAUCAUUGACAAUGGAUGAUUGUUAGUGAUAUGGAUAAUUGUCGAAUUUCUGGGUAGGGGAUGAAUUUGUUAAUUUGUGUUUGAUUACACUGUUAAAUAGUAACAGUACCCCCAUACGUCGAGUGAAUAAUAAGAGCAUAUAUGGUGUUGAAUAUUUCACUGUGUUUUUGUUUUGCAAGUUUGUUAAUUAGCAAGCAUGCAGCUAACUUGUGUGCUUCUUUGCUUGAAAAAUACCAAAAGAGACUCAUAAUAAUGAUGCAAGUUCGGCUUUAUUUUGUGGUAGAAAAGUUCUUGGUGGAGCUUUCUUUAAGUUUAUUUAUUUUUAUAUGUCUAGUUGCUCAGAAAGAAUGAUGCUUGUGUAAAGAUUAUUUCUAAAUCGGAAUAAACGCAAGUUUUCAUAUUGUUCUGAUACAUUUAUGUUUAUUAAAGAUAUCUCUGUUCUCUGUAUUCCCAAAAUUUAUAUUAAGUUAUAGUUACUUGUACAAUCUGAUUCAUUUUUGCAUGAACUGCAAUGUAAAGUGAAAUUUCAUCAUAUAAUGUACUGUGAAGAAAGCUCAAAUUUGAUAAUCACAAGCCAUGUGCAGUGAAAACUUGUAUUAGAAGAUAUUUAAAGAUAUGACACUUUAGACAACAAUGGACCUUUUGAUGAAAUCAUGUGGCCAGAGAGUCCGUUAAAAUAAAAUUGAUGUGUCAUUUACUCACUUUACAAAAGUAGAAUAUUCAUAUUGGAUUUUCUUUCUCACAAUGCUUCUGUCUUUCUCACAUGUCCACUCUUAUGGCUGGUCCUUUCAAUAAACUGGUAUAAACAUCUAAUUGUUCAGUCUUUCAAGGAUAAGAAAGUUUGAAACUUAGUAUACAGUACAAUACAAUCCUAUCAAGUUCUAGUGUUAUUUUAUUUGCUGUGGGAAAUAUUUCUUAUUUCACUUGAUACUGUUUUGUUUCUAAAUUGUUUCACUACUUUGGAGAUUAUAAAAAAAUUCAGACUUUAGUUAAGCAUGUAUCAUGGUUUCAUUCAUAUUCUAAUCUAGAGUGGUGAUUUAUGUUCUCUUUCAGGUGGUAUAACGACAUUGAUUGAUAUGCCCCUUAACAGUUAUCCUUCCAGUGUCUGUAGAAACACUAAAACUCAAGGUCGACGCAGCACAUGAGAAAAUAUAUGUCGAUGUUGGUUGACAUUGAUUUUGAAAAAGAACCAAUUGGAACAGGAAAGGAUGGGGAAAAUAUAUAUUUCAAGGACAUAUGGCCAUCUACAGAAGAAAAAUAGAGGAGUUGUUAAUGUUCAGAGCAGAGAGGAAGUGGUAGUCAAGCUGGUAUCUGAUGACAUUAAAUCUUUUUUUUUGGGGGUCAAUGAUUCCCUAUUUGAAAUGAUGUUCCUUGCGCAUAGUAUUAGGAAGUGCCUGUAGUUUGAUUGUUUUAGGCCAAGCUUGAAGUGGUUUGUUAUUUGUGACGUUUGGAUUGCGAAAAUUUUGAAUGUACGGUGUUGAUAUAUGCGAGAUAUUAGUUAUGAAAUGUGAAAUUUGAAUUUAUGCAUGUUUCUUUAAAUGUUUGUGAAAUUUGGAUUGUAAAAAUUUUGAAUGUAGUGGAUGUAUGCGAGAUACUAGAUAUGGAAAGUGCACGAAAUUUA